GACGAACGCUGGCGGCGUGCUUAACACAUGCAAGUCGAACGGAAAGGCCCUGCUCUUGUGGGGUGCUCGAGUGGCGAACGGGUGAGUAACACGUGAGUAACCUGCCCUUGACUUUGGGAUAACUUCAGGAAACUGGGGCUAAUACCGGAUAGGAGCUCCUGCUGCAUGGUGGGGGUUGGAAAGUUUCGGCGGUUGGGGAUGGACUCGCGGCUUAUCAGCUUGUUGGUGGGGUAGUGGCUUACCAAGGCUUUGACGGGUAGCCGGCCUGAGAGGGUGACCGGGCACAUUGGUACUGAGAUACGGCCCAGACUCCUACGGGAGGCAGCAGUGGAGAAUAUUGCACAAUGGGCGGAAGCCUGAUGCAGCAGCGCCGCGUGCGGGAUGACGGCCUUCGGGUUGUAAACCGCUUUCGCCUGUGACGAAGCGUGAGUGACGGUAAUGGGUAAAGAAGCAACGGCUAACUACGUG
rnacentral:rRNA from 1 species